rnacentral:tRNA from 1 species
GCACCGAUAGUUUAGGGGUAGAAUUGAAGCUUCCCAUACUCGAUAUCUGCUUCAGGCGCGGGUUCGAGUCCCGCUCGGUGCA